rnacentral:rRNA from 1 species
UACGUAGGGCGCAAGCGUUGUCCGGAAUUAUUGGGCGUAAAGAGCUCGUAGGCGGCUUGUCACGUCGGGUGUGAAAGACCGGGGCUUAACCCCGGUUCUGCAUUCGAUACGGGCUGGCUAGAGUGUGGUAGGGGAGAUCGGAAUUCCUGGUGUAGCGGUGAAAUGCGCAGAUAUCAGGAGGAACACCGGUGGCGAAGGCGGAUCGCUGGGCCAUUACUGACGCUGAGGAGCGAAAGCGUGGGGAGCGAACAGG